rnacentral:rRNA from 1 species
CAGCCGCCGCGGGAAUACGGAGGGUGCAAGCGUUAAUCGGAAUUACUGGGCGUAAAGCGUGCGUAGGUGGUUGUUUAAGUCUGUUGUGAAAGCCCUGGGCUCAACCUGGGAAUUGCAGUGGAUACUGGGCAACUAGAGUGUGGUAGAGGGUAGUGGAAUUCCCGGUGUAGCAGUGAAAUGCGUAGAGAUCGGGAGGAACAUCCAUGGCGAAGGCAGCUACCUGGACCAACACUGACACUGAGGCACGAAAGCGUGGGGAGCAAACAGGAUUAGAUACCCCCGUAGUCCCUGUCUCUUAUAC